CGGUGAACUACGUUCCCGGACCUUGUACACACCGCCCGUCAAGCCAUGGAAGCUGGGUGUACCUAAAGUCGAUAACCGCAAGGAGUCGCCUAGGGUAAAACUAGUAACUGGGGCU
rnacentral:rRNA from 1 species